CCUACGGGAGGCUGCAGUGGGGAAUAUUGCACAAUGGGGGCAACCCUGAUGCAGCGACGCCGCGUGAGUGAAGAAGGCUUUCGGUAUGUAAAGCUCUUUUAGCAGGGACGAAAAUGCCGGUACCUGCUUCAGAAUCCCCGGCUAACUACGUGCCAGCAGCCGCGGUAAUACGUAGGGGGCAAGCGUUAUCCGGAUUUACUGGGUGUAAAGGGAGCGUGGACGGUAGAAUAAGUCAGAAGUGAAAAGCCGGGGCUUAACCCCGGAACUGCUUGGGAAACUUUGCAGCUAGAGAGCAGGAGAGGUAGGUGGAAUGUCUAGUGUAGCGGUGAAAUGCGUAGAUAUUAGGAGGAACACCAGUGGCGAAGGCGGCUUACUGGACUGCAACUGACGUUGAGGCGCGAAAGCGUGGGGAGCAAACAGGAUUAGAUACCCGAGUAGUC
rnacentral:rRNA from 1 species